rnacentral:rRNA from 1 species
AUUGAACGCUGGCGGCAGGCCUAACACAUGCAAGUCGAACGAGUGGCGGACGGGUGAGUAAUGUCUGGGAAACUGCCCGAUGGAGGGGGAUAACUACUGGAAACGGUAGCUAAUACCGCAUAACCUCGGAUGUGCCCAGCUGGGAUUCGCUAGUAGGUGGGGUAACCGCUCACCUAGGCGACGAUCCCUAGCUGGUCCGGGAGGAUGACCGGCCACACUGGAACUGGGACACGGUCCAGACUCCUACGUGAGGCAGCAGUGGGGAAUAUUGCGCAAUGGGCGCAAGCCUGAUGCAGCCAUGCCGCGUGUAUGAAGAAGGCCUUCGGGUUGUAAAGUACUUUCAGCGAGGAUGCGUUACUCGCAGAAGAAGCACCGGCUAACUCCGUGCCAGCAGCCGCGGUAAUUC